AACAGCCGGUUGGGAGGGGGGGAGGGGCAGAUGAUUUCCGCCCCUCCCCCGGUCAGUUAACCCCACGGAGCCCGGGUCACAGCGAGCCGCCCCAAGCGAAGGUGGGGUGAACCCUGCCACCCGGGACUCCUGGGUCCAAUUCCUGCCGGGAGCCGAGAGCGAUGGGGCCCCUCCCGGACUCUUGGGGCCCCUCCCGAUUUCUUCCCCAGAGAACCCGGACGCCUGGGUCCCCUUCCCGAUCUUCCUUUCUCCCCCGGGACAGCUGAGGAAGUUCUGGGGGGUCCUUUCCGGACGCCUGGGUCCCCUUCCCCAUGCCGGUGUCUUCCUCAGCUGACCCGGACGCCUGGGUCCCUUUCCCCAUGCCGGCCUCUCCGCCCCGGCCGUGAAAGCGUUAAGGCGGAGGGAUGGGGGGAAGGGAUCCCGCCCGCUCGCUGCGGCCAGGCACCAGGGCGGAGAAGCUACAAUCUCGGUCUUCCCCGAGCUGGAGCCGCCAGACAGACAGACGGACAGACGGACGGACAGACAGACAGACGGACAGCCGGGUGUGGGAUGGACACAUAGAUAGAGGGCCUGGCGAAGAGCCCCCCCCACCCACCGAAUCUCCUGAAGAUCCCCGCUUCUGCACCCCCAAAGUUCCCUGAGAGGGGCCCCUCCCUCUUUGCCUUCAGGACUUUCCGAGUAGUCCCUAAAGGGGGACAUUGGCCCCCAGAGAGGGGGAGGGGAGCCAGUUAACCCUUUCACUCCCAGGCGGGGGAGCCAGGGAAGGGGUGA